CCUACGGGUGACAGCAGUGGGGAACAUUGCACAAUGGGGGAAACCCUGAUGCAGCGACGCCGCGUGAGUGAAGAAGUAUUUCGGUAUGUAAAGCUCUAUCAGCAGGGAAGAAAAUGACGGUACCUGACUAAGAAGCCCCGGCUAACUACGUGCCAGCAGCCGCGGUAAUACGUAGGGGGCAAGCGUUAUCCGGAUUUACUGGGUGUAAAGGGAGCGUAGACGGCCAGACAAGUCAGAAGUGAAAGCCCAGGGCUCAACCCUGGGACUGCUUUUGAAACUGCAAAGCUGGAGUGCGGGAGGGGCAGGCGGAAUUCCUGGUGUAGCGGUGAAAUGCGUAGAUAUCAGGAGGAACACCGGCGGCGAAGGCGGCCUGCUGGACCGUAACUGACGUUGAGGCUCGAAAGCGUGGGGAGCAAACAGGAUUAGAUACCCCUGUAGUC
rnacentral:rRNA from 1 species